CAAAGGCCAACAUGAUAUGAGAAAAAAAUGCUCAACAUUACUAAACAUCAGAAAAAUGCAAAUCAAAAUCACAGUGGGAUACUUUCUGAGCAGCAGGGAAGCUGAGGUAUUAUUAGUUGCCCUAUAGAGAGACCCCAGCAGCAAAGAACCAAUGGAAGACUUGGCCUACAGACAGAAAAAUAUUGAGACCCGCAGUCCAAACUGAAACCUGCUGAUUACUGGUGAUUGAGCUGGGAUGAAGAUCCUGCCCAGUGUCCCCUCAGUUGAGAUCACAGUGCCAGCCUCCCUAGAGGCCUUGAGGCAGAGACACCCAGUCAUGCCAGGAUCCUAAAACGCACAAACUUUCUGAUAAUUAUAAUGCUUGUUGUUACAAGCUGUAAGUUUGA